GCUGGAGUAGCUCAGUCGGCAGAGCAGCCGCCUCGUAAGCGGCAGGUCAGGGGUUCAAGUCCCCUCUCCAGCUCCA
rnacentral:tRNA from 1 species